GCGUCUGUAGCUCAGUUGGAUAGAGCGUCAGACUCCGACUCUGAAGGCCGCUGGUUCGAUUCCAGUCAGGCGCACCA
rnacentral:tRNA from 1 species